CCUACGGGUGGCAGCAGUGGGGAAUAUUGGGCAAUGGAGGAAACUCUGACCCAGCAACGCCGCGUGAAGGAUGAAGGUAUUCGGAUUGUAAACUUCUUUCGCGAGGGAUGAAGAAUGAUGGAACCUCGUAAGAAAGCGCAGGCAAAAUACGUGCCAGCAGCCGCGGUACUACGUAGGGGGCGAGCGUUGACCGGAAUGACUGGGCGUAAAGGGAGUGUAGGCGGCUUAUUAAGUUAUGUGGGAAAGGCCGCGGCUCAACCGCAGAAUUGCACAUAAAACUGGGAAGCUGGAGUGCAGGAGAGGUAAGUGGAAUUCCCGGUGUAGCGGUGGAAUGCGUAGAUAUCGGGAGGAACACCAGAGGCGAAGGCGACUUACUGGACUGUAACUGACGCUGAGGCUCGAAAGCGUGGGGAGCAAACAGGAUUAGAUACCCUUGUAGUC
rnacentral:rRNA from 1 species